rnacentral:misc_RNA from 1 species
GAAAUGCGAUAAUUAAUGUGAAUUGCAGAAUUCAGUGAAUCAUUGAGUCUUUGAACGCACACUGCGCCCCCUGGUAUUCCGGGGGGCAUGCCUGUCCGAGCGUCAUUGCUGCCCUCAAGCACGGCUUGUGUGUUGGGCUUCCGUCCCUGGCAACGGGGACGGGCCCAAAAGGCAGUGGCGGCACCAUGUCUGGUCCUCGAGCGUAUGGGGCUUUGUCACCCGCUCCCGUAGGUCCAGCUGGCAGCUAGCCUCGCAACCAAUCUUUUUAACCAGGUUGACCUCGGAUCAGGUAGGGAUACCCGCUGAACUUAAGC